UACAUACUCCUUCCGUCCGGAAAUACUUGUCGGAGAAAUGGAUGUAGCUAGACGCAUUUUAGUUCUAUAUACAUCCAUUUUUAUCCAUUUCACCGACAAGUAUUUUCGGACGGAGGGAGUAGUAG
rfam:Triticum aestivum genome assembly, contig: Triticum_aestivum_CS42_TGACv1_scaffold_095483_2AL